rnacentral:rRNA from 1 species
AGUGAACGCUGGCGGUAGGCCUAACACAUGCAAGUCGAACGGCAGCACAGUAAGAGCUUGCUCUUACGGGUGGCGAGUGGCGGACGGGUGAGGAAUACAUCGGAAUCUACUUUUUCGUGGGGGAUAACGUAGGGAAACUUACGCUAAUACCGCAUACGACCUACGGGUGAAAGCAGGGGAUCUUCGGACCUUGCGCGAUUGAAUGAGCCGAUGUCGGAUUAGCUAGUUGGCGGGGUAAAGGCCCACCAAGGCGACGAUCCGUAGCUGGUCUGAGAGGAUGAUCAGCCACACUGGAACUGAGACACGGUCCAGAUUCCUACGGGAGGCAGCAGUGGGGAAUAUUGGACAAUGGGCGCAAGCCUGAUCCAGCCAUACCGCGUGGGUGAAGAAGGCCUUCGGGUUGUAAAGCCCUUUUGUUGGGAAAGAAAAGCAGCAGGUUAAUACCCCGCUGUUCUGACGGUACCCAAAGAAUAAGCACCGGCUAACUUCGU